rnacentral:rRNA from 1 species
UGGGGAAUAUUGGACAAUGGAGGAAACUCUGAUCCAGCAAUUCUGUGUGUGUGAAGAAGGUUUUAGGACUGUAAAACACUUUUAGUAGGGAAGAAAAAAAUGACGGUACCUAAAGAGGAAGCAACGGUUAAUUACGUGCCAGAAGCCGCGGUAUAAGUAAUGUUGCGAGCGUUAUCCGGAAUUAUUGGGCUUAAAGGGCAUCUAGGCGGUAAGACAAGUUGAAGGUGAAAACCUGUGGCUCAACCAUAGGCUUGCCUACAAAACUGUUGAACUAGAGUACUGGAAAGGUGGGUGGAACUACACGAGUAGAGGUGAAAUUCGUAGAUAUGUGUAGGAAUGCCGAUGAUGAAGAUAACUCACUGGACAGAAACUGACGCUGAAGUGCGAAAGCUAGGGGAGCAAACAGG